CCAGAGAACUUUCCAGAGAUGGAUUGGUGCCUUCGGGAACUCUGAGACAGGUGCUGCAUGGCUGUCGUCAGCUCGUGUUGUGAAAUGUUGGGUUAAGUCCCGCAACGAGCGCAACCCUUAUCCUUUGUUGCCAGCGGUCCGGCCGGGAACUCAAAGGAGACUGCCAGUGAUAAACUGGAGGAAGGUGGGGAUGACGUCAAGUCAUCAUGGCCCUUACGAGUAGGGCUACACACGUGCUACAAUGGCGCAUACAAAGAGAAGCGACCUCGCGAGAGCAAGCGGACCUCAUAAAGUGCGUCGUAGUCCGGAUUGGAGUCUGCAACUCGACUCCAUGAAGUCGGAAUCGCUAGUAAUCGUGGAUCAGAAUGCCACGGUGAAUACGUUCCCGGGCCUUGUACACACCGCCCGUCACACCAUGGGAGUGGGUUGCAAAAGAAGUAGGUAGCUUAACCUUCGGGAGGGCGCCUACCACUUUGUGAUUCAUGACUGGGGUGAAGUCGUAACAAGGUAAGCGUAGUGCU
rnacentral:rRNA from 1 species